GCUCUUGCUUGUUCUGCAUUUUCUUUGUAAAUGCUGUAACUACGAUACUGACUAUUGCCUAUGGAAUAAAAGAGAGUAACCUAGACAAUGUAUUCCAGGUAAAUUUAGUACAAGUAAGGGAGGAGAGAAGGACUAAGGAUAGGUGAAAGGAGACAAGGAAAUUCGAUUGUUUUGUCUCCCUUACUGCCAGACCCCUACUCGGCCCUGCACCAGGCACACUAAUCACUCAUGGUGUAUUGCUGCAGUGUUCAUCAGCCCCAAAUAUUCCUAGUCUCUCUUGUCUUGCUUCAAGACUGAGAACAUCAAGAUAAGAGUAACUGAAGUCAUGUUCAGAGAUUCUCAAUUGCAAGUUUUUACCAAGUCCAGUUCCAGGCAGCCACACUCCCCCAUCAAUGCUGAAAAGUCUUCUGACCUGUAUUAAUCUCGAAUCUCAGGAAAAGCAGAGCCUUUCAGACUACCCUGUGAUGAAAUCCACCUCUAUCCAAAGUAGAGUAAUUACCCAGGAUGAGAACUCAGUCAGCCCCUCCUGAACGAGAGGAGAUUCCGCUGGUGAAUAUGGAACUGGCCCCUCAAGCCUUGCAGAUGUUUCUAGAAUAUGGAAGCUGACCUGAGACCUGACUUGAGCAACCAAAUGGAAAGUUUUCCUGGUACCAGGAGGCCCAAUCACAAAUGGUUAAUCAGCAAGUCCUUCAGAGAAGAAGAAACUGUAUUCAGAGACAAGAGGGGAAAUAUCAGAAUUGAAAAGGAGUCAGCUGUCAACCCUCCCGAAAAUUUAACAGGGCCAUGCGGUUAUAGAGAAAGAGUUCUUCUGCAUGACUGCCUAAAAGCAAGAGCCCUUCCACUCAGGGUAGCUGUUCGGUAUCUCCAGCUUCAGCCCUGUCUUGUGGUUGGCUCCACAGUCUUUAACUGUGCUUUUUCCGACUGCAGCAUGUGGCUUUUACUGCUUCCCUGCAAAUAAGACCUAACUAUAAAAUAAUCAGCCUUGAAUUCUAGAGCCUAAAAGUGCCAGCCCCACUCAGCCUAUCCUCCCUUCACCUGCCCCCAUUUUCUCCUGCUCGGCUAUUCAGUAAGAAAAGAGUCCAGAAUGUCUUACAUCACGAUGUGAUUUCACAAUAUGAAGUCUAUUCUACAUUUCAGCUUGUAUGUUUGUCUUUUUAAAAUGAAUGUCUGCACUUGAUUUUGAAAUGAAUACUCGCUCAUUCUAUUCUCCAAACUUUGAGAUACACAGCUGAAGCUGAAUAGCACACUUUGGCUGGACACCAAACAGUCCAAACUUCCACUCAAUUCUAGUUUGUAUGGAUUGUGAGACUCUUGUGAAACACGCUUAAUGUGGGGAAUGAAAAUGAAACCAUUAUGUUAGACAUGGUACCUGUUGAAAGAAAUUCACUGCUAUUAAUCAAAUUCAUAUGUAUAUGAAUUUUAAAUUAAUUCUGUGGGAGUUUAAUAAGUUUUAUUUCACUUAGAGUUAGGCAUUUUAUCUUUAACACUAUAUAGAUCUUCAUUGUAAUUAGUAACUGUUAAGACAGAAGCCUAGUUUAUUUGCCCUUUGUAGUGGUUCAAUAAAAUCUUUUAGACAUUUAGCCAGGAAGGGAGGCAGGCAUCUGUAGGUAGACACUUUUAUAAUGGGAAGAAAGGUGCUGCCCCU
rnacentral:lncRNA from 1 species